AGCCGGUCUCAGUGCAGUGGUAUUUACAACUAAUUGAUCACAACCAGUUACAGAUUUUUUUGUUCUUCUCCACCCACACUGCUUCACUUGACUGACUAGCUAGCU
rnacentral:Y_RNA from 1 species